AUUGAACGCUGGCGGCAUGCCUUACACAUGCAAGUCGAACGGCAGCACGGGAGCAAUCCUGGUGGCGAGUGGCGAACGGUGAGUAAUAUAUCGGAACGUGCCCGGUCGUGGGGGAUAACGUAGCGAAAGCUACGCUAAUACCGCAUACGAUCUACGGAUGAAAGCGGGGAUCGCAAGACCUCGCGCGAUUGGAGCGGCCGAUAUCAGAUUAGGUAGUUGGUGAGGUAAAGGCUCACCAAGCCGACGAUCUGUAGCUGGUCUGAGAGGACGACCAGCCACACUGGGACUGAGACACGGCCCAGACUCCUACGGGAGGCAGCAGUGGGAAUUUUGGACAAUGGGCGCAAGCCUGAUCCAGCAAUGCCGCGUGCAGGAUGAAGGCCUUCGGGUUGUAAACUGCUUUUGUACGGAACGAAACGGUGAGCUCUAAUACAGUUUGCUAAUGACGGUACCGUAAGAAUAAGCACCGGCUAACUACGUG
rnacentral:rRNA from 1 species